AUUGAACGCUGGCGGCAGGCUUAACACAUGCAAGUCGAGCGGUAACAGAGAGAAGCUUGCUUCUCUGCUGACGAGCGGCGGACGGGUGAGUAAUGCCUAGGAAUCUGCCUAGUAGUGGGGGAUAACUUGCCGAAAGGUAAGCUAAUACCGCAUACGUCCUACGGGAGAAAGGAGGGGACCUUCGGGCCUUUCGCUAUUAGAUGAGCCUAGGUCGGAUUAGUUAGUUGGUGAGGUAAUGGCUCACCAAGACCGCGAUCCGCAACUGGUCUGAGAGGAUGAUCAGUCACACUGGAACUGAGACACGGUCCAGACUCCUACGGGAGGCAGCAGUGGGGAAUAUUGGACAAUGGGGGGGAACCCUGAUCCAGCCAUGCCGCGUGUGUGAAGAAGGUCUUAGGAUUGUAAAGCACUUUAAGUUGGGAGGAAGAGCAGUUAACUAAUAUUUGACUGUUUUGACGUUACCGACAGAAUAAGCACCGGCUAACUUCGUG
rnacentral:rRNA from 1 species